GUGACCUCAAAUCAGGUAGGACUACCCGCUGAACUUAAGCAUAUCAAUAAGCGGGAGGAAAAGAAACUAACAAGGAUUCCCCUAGUAACUGCGAGUGAAGCGGGAAAAGCUCAAAUUUAAAAUCUGGCGGCCUUUUUGCUGUCCGAGUUGUAAUCUAGAGAAGUGUUAUCCGCGCUGGACCGUGUACAAGUCUCCUGGAAUGGAGCAUCAUAGAGGGUGAGAAUCCCGUCUUUGACAUGGACUACCAGGGC
rnacentral:rRNA from 1 species